AUCCAACUGACGAGUCCCAAAUGGGACGAAACGCGCAUCCUGGAU
rnacentral:hammerhead_ribozyme from 1 species